UCAGUUAACAAAAACCAAGCUAUCUCUGUUCUCUUUCCAUUCCGCUCCCACUUCUCUCCUAAGCUCUCAAAUACUUGAAUCUUCUCACUUCAUUUUCAUCUAAGGUCGAAAAUCAGUAGCUACUUUACCUCUAUGCCUUGCUUCUCAUCAUGUUAAGAGAACAAAUGGAGGACUUUGAGAUUUCAAACCACUGAGCUUCUCUCUAUUUUGCUUCAAUACCAGAAAUUUUCUUUCCUUUCGAAUAAGCCCACAUAUGGUGAAGCUCUAGCUAUUGCCCAGUCUCUAAUUGAGUGAUUUAUCGAGUUCUGGGAUUUGCCCAAUCGAAGUAUGUGACCUUAAUUCCUAUACCACUCAAUCAUUUGAACAAAUUUAAAAGUUCAACCGUUGUACCGAGUCGGGGCCUCCAUCAUUCGCAAAAACAUAAGUAGAAGAACCUUACUGUUUAAAGCUCACAAUCAAGAUUGGUCAGAGGAAC